GUUCUCUUUGGCAGCACAUAUACUAAAAUUGGAACAAUACAGAGAAGAUGAGCAUGGCCUGUGUACAAGUAUGACAUGCACAUUCGUGAAGCAUUUCAUAUUUUU
ensembl:snRNA U6 U6 spliceosomal RNA